ACUCAAACUCACCCUCAAAAUCGCCCUAAACCCACCCCCAUAAUCACCCCAAAAAUACUCCCAAAAAUCCCCCAAAACAACCUGAAAACACCUCCAAAUUCACCCCAAAAAUCACCCCAAAAUCAGCCCCAAAACACCCCAAAAUCACCCUCAAAAUCACCCCAAAAACCCCUAAAACCACCCCCAAAUCACCACAAAAAUACCCCUAAAAACACCCCAAAAAAAUCCCUCAAAACACCCUAAAAACACCCCCAAAAUACCCCAAAAUACCCCAAAAUCUCUCCAAACCAUGAAUGUCCCUUUCCUAUCCAAGCCCCUUGGACAGCAGCACUUCCUCCCUCCUCCUCUCGGAUUUAAGUUGGUUUGGGGUGUUUGUUCGCCUCCUUAUGACCCUUCCCUGGGAUUUUCGGCUGUGGGUCGGGCGGGACUCUCUGUGCUUUAUUUCUGGAUUGGGAUGGGGACAAGGACAAGGAUGGAGACCAGGAUGAGGACAAGGAUGGGGACAAGGAUGGGGAUGGCACCUGAUGUCCCCUUAGCUCUUCAUGUCCCCUCAGUCCCCUCUAGUCCCUCAGCCCCCUUCAGCUCCCUCAGCCCCCUCAGCUUCUCAGUCCCUCAAUCCCUCAUUCCCUCAUCCCCUCAGCCCCUUCAUUCCUCUCAUCACCUCAGUUCCUCAGUCCCUUCAUCCUCCUCAUUCCCCUUCAGGUCCCUCAUCCCCUUUCACCUCCUCAUCCUCCUUCAUCCCUCAUCGCUCCUCAGGUCCCUCAGUCCCUUCAUCCCUCCUCAAGUCCCUCAGUCCCUCAGUCCUUCAUCCCUCUCAUCCUUCCUCAGGUCCCUUUGUCCCCUUUCACCUCCUCGUCCUCCUUCAUCCCCCUCAUCCCUCCUCAGUCCUUCAUCCCCCUCAUCCCUCCUCAGUCCUUUAUCCCCCUCAUCCCUCUUCAGGUCCCUUCACCCCUCUCGCCCCUCCUCAAGUCCCUCAGUCCUUCAUCCCUCUCAUCCCUCCUCAAGUCCCUUCAUCCCUCUCAUCCCUCCUCAAGUCCCUCAGUUCCUUCAUCCCCCUCAUAUUAGGUUGGAUAUCAGGAAAAAUUUUUUUACGGAGCGAGUGAUGAGACACUGGAAUGGGCUGCCCAGGGAGGUGGUGGACUCACCGCCCCUGGAGGUUUUUAAGAUGAGAUUGGAUGUGGCACUUCGCGCCAUGGUCUGGUAACCACAGCAGGGUUGGAGCAAGGGUUGGACUUGUUGAUCUCAGAGGUCUUUUCCAACCCGGUUGAUUCUGUGAUUCUAUGAAUCCACGAUCCCGUCUCAUCCUCCUUCAUCCCCCUCAGCCCCCACAAAGCUUUUCCCGCCCUUUUUCU
rnacentral:lncRNA from 1 species